GAUGAACGCUAGCGGCAGGCUUAACACAUGCAAGUCGAGGGGCAGCAUGAGACGGAGAUUCGUCGAAGUCUUGAUGGCGACCGGCGCAAGGGUGCGUAACGCGUGAGCAACUUGCCCGUUUCAGGGGGAUAACCGGUGGAAACGCCGACUAAUACCCCAUAGCAUCAGUAUGAGGCAUCUCUUACUGAUUAAAGAACUUCGGAAACGGAUAGGCUCGCGUGACAUUAGCUAGAUGGCGGGGUAACGGCCCACCAUGGCGACGAUGUCUAGGGGUUCUGAGAGGAAGGUCCCCCACACUGGAACUGAGACACGGUCCAG
rnacentral:rRNA from 1 species